rnacentral:rRNA from 1 species
AGCUUUAAGAAAACAUUUAAAGUCAUGCCUGCCCAGUGCAUUUUGUAAACGGCCGCAGUACCUUGACUGUGCUAAGGUAGCAUAAUCAGUUGGCUUUUAAAUGGAGUCGGGAAUGAAUGGAUUUAUAGGGUAAAGCUGUCUCUAGCAUAUUUUAUUGAACUUUUUUAUUAGGUGAAAAUACCUAUAAGUUAGAAAAAAGACGAGAAGACCCUAGGAGUUUUUACUAAUUAUCAACUAUUUGAUUACUGUUUUUGUUGGGGCGACAUAGGAUAAUAUUCUAACAUCCUUUACGUAUUUGCCGACUUUGUAUGAUAAAUUAAACUACCCUAGGGAUAACAGCGUAAUUCUUUUAGAGCUUGCGACCUCGAUGUUGGACUAGGAAUUUAUUUGGUUAGCCGCCAACCUUUAUUGUUCUGUUCGAACUUAAUUUCC